GGAGAGGUGGCUGAGUGGUCUAAAGCGGCAGAUUGCUAAUCUGUUGUAUAUUUUUUUAUACCGAGGGUUCGAAUCCCUUCCUCUCCU
rnacentral:tRNA from 1 species